rnacentral:rRNA from 1 species
UACGUAGGGGGCAAGCGUUGUCCGGAAUUAUUGGGCGUAAAGAGCGCGUAGGCGGUCCGGUAAGUCGGCUGUGAAAGUCAAGGGCUCAACCCUUGAAAGCCGGCCGAUACUGUCGGACUAGAGUCCGGAAGAGGCGAGUGGAAUUCCCGGUGUAGCGGUGAAAUGCGCAGAUAUCGGGAGGAACACCAAUGGCGAAGGCAGCUCGCUGGGACGGUACUGACGCUGAGGCGCGAUAGCGUGGGGAGCGAACAGG